GGUGAACGCUAGCUACAGGCUUAACACAUGCAAGUUCGAGGGGCAGCAUGGUCUUAGCUUGCUAAGGCCGAUGGCGACCGGCGCACGGGUGAGUAACACGUAUCCAACCUGCCGUCUACUCUUGGACAGCCUUCUGAAAGGAAGAUUAAUACAAGAUGGCAUCAUGAGUCCGCAUGUUCACAUGAUUAAAGGUAUUCCGGUAGACGAUGGGGAUGCGUUCCAUUAGAUAGUAGGCGGGGUAACGGCCCACCUAGUCUUCGAUGGAUAGGGGUUCUGAGAGGAAGGUCCCCCACAUUGGAACUGAGACACGGUCCAAACUCCUACGGGAGGCAGCAGUGAGGAAUAUUGGUCAAUGGGCGAGAGCCUGAACCAGCCAAGUAGCGUGAAGGAUGACUGCCCUAUGGGUUGUAAACUUCUUUUAUAAAGGAAUAAAGUCGGGUAUGGAUACCCGUUUGCAUGUACUUUAUGAAUAAGGAUCGGCUAACUCCGUGCCAGCAGCCGCGGUAAUACGGAGGAUCCGAGCGUUAUCCGGAUUUAUUGGGUUUAAAGGGAGCGUAGAUGGAUGUUUAAGUCAGUUGUGAAAGUUUGCGGCUCAACCGUAAAAUUGCAGUUGAUACUGGAUAUCUUGAGUGCAGUUGAGGCAGGCGGAAUUCGUGGUGUAGCGGUGAAAUGCUUAGAUAUCACGAAGAACUCCGAUUGCGAAGGCAGCCUGCUAAGCUGCAACUGACAUUGAGGCUCGAAAGUGUGGGUAUCAAACAGGAUUAGAUACCCUGGUAGUCCACACGGUAAACGAUGAAUACUCGCUGUUUGCGAUAUACUGCAAGCGGCCAAGCGAAAGCGUUAAGUAUUCCACCUGGGGAGUACGCCGGCAACGGUGAAACUCAAAGGAAUUGACGGGGGCCCGCACAAGCGGAGGAACAUGUGGUUUAAUUCGAUGAUACGCGAGGAACCUUACCCGGGCUUAAAUUGCAGAUGAAUUACGGUGAAAGCCGUAAGCCGCAAGGCAUCUGUGAAGGUGCUGCAUGGUUGUCGUCAGCUCGUGCCGUGAGGUGUCGGCUUAAGUGCCAUAACGAGCGCAACCCUUGUUGUCAGUUACUAACAGGUUCCGCUGAGGACUCUGACAAGACUGCCAUCGUAAGAUGUGAGGAAGGUGGGGAUGACGUCAAAUCAGCACGGCCCUUACGUCCGGGGCUACACACGUGUUACAAUGGGGGGUACAGAGGGCCGCUACCACGCGAGUGGAUGCCAAUCCCCAAAACCUCUCUCAGUUCGGACUGGAGUCUGCAACCCGACUCCACGAAGCUGGAUUCGCUAGUAAUCGCGCAUCAGCCACGGCGCGGUGAAUACGUUCCCGGGCCU
rnacentral:rRNA from 1 species